GGCGAACGCUGGCGGCGUGCUUAACACAUGCAAGUCGAACGGAAAGGCCCUGCUUUUGUGGGGUGCUCGAGUGGCGAACGGGUGAGUAACACGUGAGUAACCUGCCCUUGACUUUGGGAUAACUUCAGGAAACUGGGGCUAAUACCGGAUAGGAGCUCCUGCUGCAUGGUGGGGGUUGGAAAGCUUCGGCGGUUGGGGAUGGACUCGCGGCUUAUCAGCUUGUUGGUGGGGUAGUGGCUUACCAAGGCUUUGACGGGUAGCCGGCCUGAGAGGGUGACCGGCCACAUUGGGACUGAGAUACGGCCCAGACUCCUACGGGAGGCAGCAGUGGGGAAUAUUGCACAAUGGGCGGAAGCCUGAUGCAGCAACGCCGCGUGCGGGAUGACGGCCUUCGGGUUGUAAACCGCUUUCGCCUGUGACGAAGCGUGAGUGACGGUAAUGGGUAAAGAAGCACCGGCUAACUACGUG
rnacentral:rRNA from 1 species